rnacentral:rRNA from 1 species
UACGUAGGGGGCUAGCGUUGUCCGGAAUCAUUGGGCGUAAAGCGCGCGUAGGCGGCCAGAUAAGUCCGGUGUGAAAGUCACAGGCUCAACCUGUGAAUGCCGCUGGAAACUGUCUGGCUUGAGUCCGGAAGGGGCGAGUGGAAUUCCUGGUGUAGCGGUGAAAUGCGCAGAUAUCGGGAGGAACACCAGUGGCGAAGGCGGCACUCUGGGCCGGUACUGACGCUGAGGAGCGAAAGCGUGGGGAGCGAACAGG